AAACAUUCAAUUCAAAAAUGGAACAUUCCAUACAUUCACAUUGUAAAGGUAACCUUCCAUGUGUGCUAGAGAAACUGUCCACAAACAGAUGCAAAAGUGGAAACUACGUCCCUCUGUUCAGUGGGCUGUUAACUUCAAAGUCUAGUUGGAAUGGGAGCAUUAAAAUGCCAAGGUUAUCAAGCAGUCUAUGGAACAAACCCUCAGCUGGAACUGUGGAAAACGGACACUGGAGCUGGCUUGCACCUUCAGUCGUCAUUGACACCUGUGCAAAGUGACUACAAAGCAGAUGUAAAACACUACCAAAUUAGGAUAGCAGCAUUCUGCACAGAUGUAAAUUAUUAGGUGCCAAGUAUUGGAGAAUCGGGCCCUUCCUGGGCAAAUGGAUGCAAAUUAUGCCCAUUCGGAGUUGCCAACUCUUCUGACUUUUGUCAUGAUAUUUGAGGUUUUCGCUACUGAGAUGAACAUCAGAAACCCUCUGAUCACCAUAAACUGGCAGAAUAAAUUGUAACAACAAAACAAAUGGAGGGAUGCAGUGAAUAAAAGAGUGUACACUUCAGAGCCAUGAACUGAUCACUUUGGAUUUUACAACAUGGGCCAAAAAUUCUUCCUGCUCCAGAUGCACACAUGGAAUUCCCAUUGUCUUCAAUGGGAUUUGCACACACAUGGCUGAGAGCAGAAUCUGGCCCAUGUGCAUUCUUUCUUUCUUUUUUCUUUGAUUUAUUGUCUCAUGCUUCUACAGCUGCUUUGUUUGAUUGUUGCUUAACUGUUCUUUACAAAAUCCUGAUAGCUCUGAGGCCAUCAUUUAUAACAGGUGAAGUAUUUGCCUCUAACAUUUGCUUUGUUAAUGAAACAACAGGGCUAAUUCAAUAGGGCAGAGUAAGCCACCGAUGGCCGGAGAGGAGGCUUGGCUCCAGUCCUGUGUCCAGGCCCUGGUAUAGGAGUUGGCUGAAACCCCUACCCUUAUCACAGUUUGACUACAGGAGUGUCACUUAGUAUAUAAUCAUUGCCUUGAUUGUUAUGAUCAGACCUUGAUGAUUUUGUUUGGGAUAGUUCUGUCUGUACUACACAACUUAGAUUUAAAUGUUUAUGUAGGUCUUGAUCCUGCAAGGUGUUGAGCACUCUGUCCCUGAUCCAGCAAAAGCACUUAAGUCAAUAGGACAACUCACAUGCUUAAACUUAAGUACAUACUUAAAGUGAUUUGAUGGAUCAAGCCCUUAGCUUGCAAUAUCUUGGGUGCAGGGACUGUAUCGUUCAUAAGUGUCCAUGGCCUGGUCUACAGUACAAAGUGAGGUUGACGUAAGGUGCCUUGCUUGCACCAACCUAGCUGUGCAUAUGUCCACACUUAAAUUUGUCGCCCACCAGUGUAAGAUCUCCAUUAUGCCAACAUAGUAACACCUUCUGCCCAAGCGUUGUUGAGCCAUGGUCAGUGUACUGAGGUUGGCACAGUGCAAAUGUAGACACUGCAUUGCCUAUGUUGACCCUAACAGUCCUCCAGCAACUGUCUUGCAAUGCCCAACACUGACGGUUCUGGUCUCGGUUGUGAACUCCACUGCCUGGGGCUCACAGAGACUGGAAGCCACACCCCUCCUUUAAAACCAUGUGAAUUUUUGAUAUGCUGUUUCCUGAUUGUCCAUUGUGGCGAGCACUCCUAGCAGCUCUCCAUUGUUGUGUGCAGCUGCCCAGCUGGCAAUGCUGGCUACAUGCUCCAGGUGUGUUCUGGCCUGGAGUAGACAGGAGUUUUUGGAUCUCCUGGGCCUGUGGGGAAAAGAAGUUGUAAAGGCACAGGUAUGGACCAACCAUAGAUAUAUGGCCAUCUAUGAGCAGAUUGCCCGGGGACGCAGGAGAAGGGUUACAAUGUGGACCAGCAGCUGUGCUGUGUGAAAGCAAAGGAACUGCAGGCAUAUCAGAAGGCCAGGGAGGCCAACAGUUGAUCUAGUGCUGAGCUGCAGCUCUGCCACUUUUACAAAGAGUUGCUUGCCAGGCUUGGUGGAGACCUCUCCCCACCCCCCAUUAGCCCACACAGACCUCUGUGGAUACCUCUGAAGAGCCUGAGUCACUGGCCCUUGGUGUGAACAGCAAGGACGAGGAGGAGGAGGUGAAGGAGGAAUAGGAGAAGGAUGGAGGAGAUGUGACAGAGGGGUCUAGCUAUGACACUAGCCGGGACCUGUUUGAGACUCCAACACAGUCCAGUCAAUCCCAGUAGUCGAGCACCACGAAACUGACUGAGGGGAAGGAACCUCAGCUGCUGCUGUUGCAGUCUUGAGGAGUUCCCCCUCCACACCCACAGAAUGCCUGAGCUAGAUAAGGAUGAAAAAGAAGAAGCUCAGAAUGACAUGUUCAGUCAGAUCCUGCAACGCAGUGCUGCAUCAGACCAUGAACAGAGGGCCUGAAGCAUGAAUAUUGCAGGCUGUACAGAGAAGGAAAGAGCAGCAGACAGGAGAAAGGACCAAGAAUCCCAGCAGGAAAAGGAGAGGGAGGGACACAAUGGAGCUCCUUUGGCAGCAAACCUACAGAUUCAAAAAUCCUGGGUUUGUCUCCCUUUGCAGUCCAUGGAGAAUUCCAUUACAGCAGCUUCCUACACACACAUACAUCAACUGUGGUUCUCACAGAUAUUGUGACACAGCAUGACACAGUGGGAAGCCAUAACGAGUGGAAUAUCUUUGUCACUGAGAUCCAGUCUUCUGAACUAUUGGUUUCCUAUCGACUGCAUCUCCCUCUAGGAUCCAGAGAUAGGAGUCUCUGGGCCUGGGUCUGGAGAGAGGGAGGACCUAAUGCAAUGGGGGCUUCAAGGGAUGUAUCAGUCCUUGAGAAGGACUGAGGCAAUGAGACUGGAGCUGCAUGGAGAGGAACACGACUCUGCCUCCUGAGGAACAAUUCCUCGUUGAAAAGAGUGGUCACCCAAGCAUGUCUGGCAUAGUGAAGACUCAAGUUCUGGCUCCCCUUGAGUUAAAAAGGAUCUUUUACAACUGAGAGAAAAAUGGAAGGGGCGGACUCUGAUCCUGAAUGAGUGAAGUCGAUGGGAGCUUUGUCAGGAUUGAGCCUGGAGCUGGCCUGCCUGCUGUGCUGAAACAGCAGUAGGAGACAGUGACUGCUCACAAAAUGGAGACGGGAUGCAGAAGGAAGCUACUUCAGGACAGGCUUUGCCAGUAAAAAGCUGAGCACCUAAGAGGAACAGAAGAAAUAAGGGAGGCAGUUAUAAGAAACUCUCAGCUAAAAGCCUGAGCAAACAGUCAGGCAGUUCAUGUGUCCUGAAGGUCAACAGACUCAGGCUCUGUCAAACCAGGGGAGGAAGAGAAUUUGGGACUCAAGAGACCUCUGCUGAACAUGCCUACCCUGAGACAUUCUACUCCAAGAUCUGUAUCAGAUGCUUCCAUGUUAUGUUCACUGACACCCCAUGAGAAAUGGCUGUGAUCUGGAUGGACUACAAGCAGGAAGUAUUAAAAACCUCUCGACAAGCUGGUUGGUGGUGUGUAAGAAGUCUAUAAAAAAGAGGGUACUUCUUGAUUCAUCAGAAGCCAAAGCAUGAAGUCCUUUCCCAAUAUCUACUCAUUCCUUACCUAGACAUUGAUGCAAAUUUGCCUGAAUAAGGACUGAGUAAGAACUUCAGCAUCUGGAUGCACAAAGCUGUAAAGAUUUCUACACAACCCUGUACCAAUUAAAUAAAAUUGGGCAAAUGGCUCAGGCAGGAAUCAGAAUCUGUCCAAAUCAACAGUGUUUAAGGAGCUGAAUGCUAUGAAUUGCUUUUCAGGAUAGGCAAUAUGGCCUACUCUGUUUUUGCAGAAAGUUGUGUAAAUCUCUGGUACUAUGUAGGUUUAAUAACAAGUAGUAAUGACAGUUAACAAUAACAGAUGUUUGCAUUGUGUCACAAACAUCAUAUACGGUACUAUGGAGUUGAGACCCACAUGCUUCACUGUAGCUGUCCCAGAAAAAUCUCAUGUUCUAGAAGCCCAUGUCUGGAGCAUGAAAAAUAGGAGAGGGACAACAAUUUCCCAGCAGUAAUCCAGAAGAGCUUGUCUUUGGGACACAGGCUGGAGUUUAUGUCAAUAAAACCAUACAGACACUAAUUGAAUCUCAGCUUCUCUGGGUUUACUCACCUAGAGUAAUAAGCUGCAAUUUACUAUGACUACAUGCCAUUAAUGCCCUAUCUAAAUGAAAAAUUAUAAUUAAUUCAUUAAUAGGAACAUAGUGUGAUGGUGCACCCCAUAAGGCUUUAUGGAAAUAUGCUUAUGAAUGUAUAUAUGACAUAACUGGAAUAUGUUUUAUGCUACAUAUGCCAUGUAACAUAUCUAUGUAAAGGUUAUGAUCUACUGAAUAUAUUCAUCCUAUUUGUAU